rnacentral:rRNA from 1 species
CUUGAACGCUGGCGGCAGGCCUAACACAUGCAAGUCGAGCGGAGCGACGGACGGGUGAGUAAUGCCUAGGAAUCUACCUGUUAGUUAGGGAUAACGUCCGGAAAGGGACGCUAAUACAGCAUACUAUCAGAUCAGCCUAGGGCGGCUUAGCUAGUUGGUGGGGUAAAGGCCUAGCAAGGCGACGAUCCAUAACUGGUCUGAGUGGAUGAUCAGUCACACUGGAACUGAGACACGGUCCAGACUCCUACGGGAGGCAGCAGUGGGGAAUAGUGGACAAUGGGCGAAAGCCUGAUCCAGCCAUGCCGCGUGUGUGAAGAAGGUCUUCGGAUUGUAAAGCACUUUAAGUUGGGAAGCGUUACCAACAGAAUAAGCACCGGCUAACUUCGUGCCAGCAGCCGCGGUAAUAC